rnacentral:rRNA from 1 species
UACGAAGGGGGCUAGCGUUGUUCGGAAUUACUGGGCGUAAAGCGCACGUAGGCGGACAUUUAAGUCAGGGGUGAAAUCCCAGAGCUCAACUCUGGAACUGCCUUUGAUACUGGGUGUCUUGAGUAUGGAAGAGGUGAGUGGAAUUCCGAGUGUAGAGGUGAAAUUCGUAGAUAUCUGGAGGAAUACCGGUGGCGAAGGCGGCAUCCUGGACCAUUACUGACGCUGAGGCGCGAAAGCUAGGGGAGCAAACGGG